rnacentral:rRNA from 1 species
AACGAACGCUGGCGGCAGGCUUAACACACGCAAGUCGAGCGCCCCGCAAGGGGAGCGGCAGACGGGUGAGUAACGCGUGGGAAUCUACCGUGCCCUACGGAAUAGCUCCGGGAAACUGGAAUUAAUACCGUAUACGCCCUACGGGGGAAAGAUUUAUCGGGGUAUGAUGAGCCCGCGUUGGAUUAGCUAGUUGGUGGGGUAAAGGCCUACCGAGGCGACGAUCCAUAGCUGGUCUGAGAGGAUGAUCAGCCACAUUGGGACUGAGACACGGCCCAAACUCCUACGGGAGGCAGCAGUGGGGAAUAUUGGACAAUGGGCGCAAGCCUGAUCCAGCCAUGCCGCGUGAGUGAUGAAGGUCUUAGGAUUGUAAAGCUCUUUCACCGGUGAAGUUAAUGACGGUAACCGGAGAAGAAGCCCCGGCUAACUUCGUGCCAGCCGCCGCAGUAA